rnacentral:rRNA from 1 species
GAUGAACGCUAGCUACAGGCUUAACACAUGCAAGUCGAGGGGCAGCGGGAUUGAAGCUUGCUUCAAUUGCCGGCGACCGGCGCACGGGUGAGUAACGCGUAUCCAACCUUCCGUACACUCAGGGAUAGCCUUUCGCAAGAAAGAUUAAUACCUGAUGGUAUGAUGAGAUUGCAUGAUAUCAUCAUUAAAGAUUUAUCGGUGUACGAUGGGGAUGCGUUCCAUUAGGUAGUAGGCGUGGUAACGGCCCACCUAGCCAACGAGGGAUAGGGGUGCUGAGAGGCAGCCCCCCCAGAUUGGAACUGCGACACAGUCCAAACUCCUACGGGACGCAGCAGUAACGAAUAUUGGGCAAUGAACGAGAGUCUGAACCAGCCAAGUAGCGUGAAGGAGGAUGCUCAUCCGGAUUGUCAACUUCUUUUAUAAGAGAAUAAACCCUCCCACGUGUGGGGGCUUGUAUGUACCUUAUGAAUAAGCAUCGGCUAACUCCGUG